rnacentral:rRNA from 1 species
UGCGUAGGCGGCGUCAUAAGUCAGGGGUGAAAGCCCACAGCUCAACUGUGGAAUUGCCUUUGAUACUGUGGUGCUUGAAUCAGGUUGAGGUAGGCGGAAUGUGGCAUGUAGCGGUGAAAUGCUUAGAUAUGCCAUAGAACACCGAUUGCGAAGGCAGCUUACUGGACCUGCAUUGACGCUGAGGCACGAAAGCGUGGGGAGCGAACAGGAUUAGAUACCCUGGUAGUCC